rnacentral:rRNA from 1 species
AUUGAACGCUGGCGGCAUGCUUUACACAUGCAAGUCGAACGGUAACAGGCCGCAAGGUGCUGACGAGUGGCGAACGGGUGAGUAAUGCAUCGGAACGUGCCCAGUCGUGGGGGAUAACGCAGCGAAAGUUGCGCUAAUACCGCAUACGAUCUAUGGAUGAAAGCGGGGGACCGUAAGGCCUCGCGCGAUUGGAGCGGCCGAUGUCAGAUUAGGUAGUUGGUGGGGUAAAGGCUCACCAAGCCGACGAUCUGUAGCUGGUCGGAGAGGACGACCAGCCACACUGGGACUGAGACACGGCCCAGACUCCUACGGGAGGCAGCAGUGGGGAAUUUUGGACAAUGGGCGCAAGCCUGAUCCAGCAAUGCCGCGUGCAGGAAGAAGGCCUUCGGGUUGUAAACUGCUUUUGUACGGAACGAAACGGUCCUGGUUAAUACCCGGGGCUAAUGACGGUACCGUAAGAAUAAGCACCGGCUAACUACGUGCCAGCCACCGCAGUAA